GAGUUUGAUCAUGGCUCAGGACGAACGCUGGCGGCGUGCCUAAUACAUGCAAGUCGAGCGAGCGGAACUAACAGAUUUACUUCGGUAAUGACGUUAGGAAAGCGAGCGGCGGAUGGGUGAGUAACACGUGGGGAACCUGCCCCAUAGUCUGGGAUACCACUUGGAAACAGGUGCUAAUACCGGAUAAGAAAGCAGAUCGCAUGAUCAGCUUUUAAAAGGCGGCGUAAGCUGUCGCUAUGGGAUGGCCCCGCGGUGCAUUAGCUAGUUGGUAAGGUAAAGGCUUACCAAGGCGAUGAUGCAUAGCCGAGUUGAGAGACUGAUCGGCCACAUUGGGACUGAGACACGGCCCAAACUCCUACGGGAGGCAGCAGUAGGGAAUCUUCCACAAUGGACGCAAGUCUGAUGGAGCAACGCCGCGUGAGUGAAGAAGGUUUUCGGAUCGUAAAGCUCUGUUGUUGGUGAAGAAGGAUAGAGGUAGUAACUGGCCUUUAUUUGACGGUAAUCAACCAGAAAGUCACGGCUAACUACGUGCCAGCAGCCGCGGUAAUACGUAGGUGGCAAGCGUUGUCCGGAUUUAUUGGGCGUAAAGCGAGCGCAGGCGGAAGAAUAAGUCUGAUGUGAAAGCCCUCGGCUUAACCGAGGAACUGCAUCGGAAACUGUUUUUCUUGAGUGCAGAAGAGGAGAGUGGAACUCCAUGUGUAGCGGUGGAAUGCGUAGAUAUAUGGAAGAACACCAGUGGCGAAGGCGGCUCUCUGGUCUGCAACUGACGCUGAGGCUCGAAAGCAUGGGUAGCGAACAGGAUUAGAUACCCUGGUAGUCCAUGCCGUAAACGAUGAGUGCUAAGUGUUGGGAGGUUUCCGCCUCUCAGUGCUGCAGCUAACGCAUUAAGCACUCCGCCUGGGGAGUACGACCGCAAGGUUGAAACUCAAAGGAAUUGACGGGGGCCCGCACAAGCGGUGGAGCAUGUGGUUUAAUUCGAAGCAACGCGAAGAACCUUACCAGGUCUUGACAUCUAGUGCCAUUUGUAGAGAUACAAAGUUCCCUUCGGGGACGCUAAGACAGGUGGUGCAUGGCUGUCGUCAGCUCGUGUCGUGAGAUGUUGGGUUAAGUCCCGCAACGAGCGCAACCCUUGUUAUUAGUUGCCAGCAUUAAGUUGGGCACUCUAAUGAGACUGCCGGUGACAAACCGGAGGAAGGUGGGGAUGACGUCAAGUCAUCAUGCCCCUUAUGACCUGGGCUACACACGUGCUACAAUGGGCAGUACAACGAGAAGCGAGCCUGCGAAGGCAAGCGAAUCUCUGAAAGCUGUUCUCAGUUCGGACUGCAGUCUGCAACUCGACUGCACGAAGCUGGAAUCGCUAGUAAUCGCGGAUCAGCACGCCGCGGUGAAUACGUUCCCGGGCCUUGUACACACCGCCCGUCACACCAUGGGAGUCUGCAAUGCCCAAAGCCGGUGGCCUAACCUUCGGGAAGGAGCCGUCUAAGGCAGGGCAGAUGACUGGGGUGAAGUCGUAACAAGGUAGCCGUAGGAGAACCUGCGGCUGGAUCACCUCCUUA
rnacentral:rRNA from 1 species